CGGGAAACUGAGGCCAAUACCGGAUACGGCUCCCUUGCUGGAACGCCGGGAAGUCAAAGGUCCGCCACCGGAGGACGUGACUGCGGCCGAUUAGGUAGACGGUGGGGUAACGGCCCACCGUGCCGAUAAUCGGUACGGGUUGUGAGAGCAAGAACCCGGAGACGGAAUCUGAGACAAGAUUCCGGGCCCUACGGGGCGCAGCAGGCGCGAAACCUUUACACUGCACGCCAGUGCGAUAAGGGGACCCCGAGUGCGAGGGCAUACAGUCCUCGCUUUUCGUGACCGUAAGGAGGUCACAGAAUAAGUGCUGGGCAAGACCGGUGCCAGCCGCCGCGGUAAUACCGGCAGCACGAGUGAUAGCCACUAUUAUUGGGCCUAAAGCGUCCGUAGCCGGCCGAACAGGUCCGUCGGGAAAUCCACCCGCUCAACGGGUGGGCGUCCGGCGGAAACCAGUCGGCUUGGGGCCGGAACACAGAGGGGUACGUCCGGGGUAGGAGUGAAAUCCUGUAAUCCCGGACGGACCACCGGUUGCGAAAGCGCCUCUGGAGGACGGGACCCGACGGUGAGGGAACGAAAGCUUGGGUCUCGAACCGGAUUAGAUACCCGGGU
rnacentral:rRNA from 1 species